CUCGUAGGUGGCCAACUAAGUCAUACGUGAAAUCCCUCAGCUUAACUGGGGAACUGCGCCUGAUACUGGUUGGCUUGAGUUUGGGAGAGGGACGCGGAAUUCCAGGUGUAACGGUGAAAUGCGUAGAUAUCUGGAGGAACACCGGUGGCGAAGGCGGCGUCCUGGACCAAUACUGACACUGAGGAGCGAAAGCCAGGGGAGCAAACG
rnacentral:rRNA from 1 species